rnacentral:rRNA from 1 species
UACGUAGGGUGCAAGCGUUGUCCGGAAUUAUUGGGCGUAAAGAGCUCGUAGGCGGCUUGUCGCGUCGGCUGUGAAAACCUGGGGCUCAACCUCGGGUCUGCAGUCGAUACGGGCGGACUGGAGUUCGGCAGGGGAGACUGGAAUUCCUGGUGUAGCGGUGAAAUGCGCAGAUAUCAGGAGGAACACCGAUGGCGAAGGCAGGUCUCUGGGCAUUAACUGACGCUGAGGAGCGAAAGCGUGGGGAGCAAACAGG